rnacentral:rRNA from 1 species
GGCCUUUAACAUGCAGUCGAACGGCAGCGCGAGAGAGCUUGCUCUCUUGGCGGCGAGUGGCCGACGGGUGAGUAAUAUAUCGGAACGUGCCCAGUAGCGGGGGAUAACUACUCGAAAGAGUGGCUAAUACCGCAUACGCCCUACGGGGGAAAGGGGGGGAUCGCAAGACCUCUCACUAUUGGAGCGGCCGAUAUCGGAUUAGCUAGUUGGUGGGGUAAAGGCUCACCAAGGCAACGAUCCGUAGCUGGUUUGAGAGGACGACCAGCCACACUGGGACUGAUACACGGCCCAGACUCCUACGGGAGGCAGCAGUGGGGAAUUUUGGACAAUGGGGGAAACCCUGAUCCAGCCAUCCCGCGUGUAUGAUGAAGGCCUUCGGGUUGUAAAGUACUUUUGGCAGAGAAGAAAAGGUAUCCCCUAAUACGGGAUACUGCUGACGGUAUCUGCAGAAUAAGCACCGGCUAACUACGUGCCAGCAGCCGCGGUAAUACGUAGGGUGCAAGCGUUAAUCGGAAUUACUGGGCGUAAAGCGUGUGUAGGCGGUUCGGAAAGAAAGAUGUGAAAUCCCAGGGCUCAACCUUGGAACUGCAUUUUUAACUGCCGAGCUAGAGUAUGUCAGAGGGGGGUAGAAUUCCACGUGUAGCAGUGAAAUGCGUAGAUAUGUGGAGGAAUACCGAUGGCGAAGGCAGCCCCCUGGGAUAAUACUGACGCUCAGACACGAAAGCGUGGGGAGCAAACAGGAUUAGAUACCCUGGUAGUCCACGCCCUAAACGAUGUCAACUAGCUGUUGGGGCCGUUAGGCCUUAGUAGCGCAGCUAACGCGUGAAGUUGACCGCCUGGGGAGUACGGUCGCAAGAUUAAAACUCAAAGGAAUUGACGGGGACCCGCACAAGCGGUGGAUGAUGUGGGAUUAAUUCGAUGCAACGCGAAAAACCUUACCUACCCUUGACAUGUCUGGAAAGCCGAAGAGAUUUGGCCGUGCUCGCAAGAGAACCGGAACACAGGUGCUGCAUGGCUGUCGUCAGCUCGUGUCGUGAGAUGUUGGGUUAAGUCCCGCAACGAGCGCAACCYUUGUCAUUAGUUGCUACGCAAGAGCACUCUAAUGAGACUGCCGGUGACAAACCGGAGGAAGGUGGGGAUGACGUCAAGUCCUCAUGSCCCUUAUGGSUAGGGCUUCACACGUCAUACAAUGGUCGGGACAGAGGGUCGCCAACCCGCGAGGGGGAGCCAAUCUCAGAAACCCGAUCGUAGUCCGGAUCGCAGUCUGCAACUCGACUGCGUGAAGUCGGAAUCGCUAGUAAUCGCGGAUCAGAAUGUCGCGGUGAAUACGUUCCCGGCUCUUGUACACACCGCCCGUCACACCAUGGGAGUGGGUUUCACCAGAAGUAGGUAGCCUAACCGUAAGGA